AGGAAAUAGACGAAGAGGUGAAAACAUGGAGAAGGGAAAUUGAAGAGGAAAAAGAAGCGGACCUCCAAAAUCUAACAAGGAGAUAUCAGGAAAAAAAAGCGGACCUCAAAAAUCUAACAAGGAGAUAUCAGG